GAUGAACGCUGACAGAAUGCUUAACACAUUAGCAAUUGAUUGGUGGCGGACGGGUGAGUAACGCGUAAAGAACUUGCCUCCCAGCUAGGGACAACAUUUGGAAACGAAUGCUAAUACCUAAUACUGUGAGAGAGCUUUGCGUCCCAUUAGCUAGUUGGAGAGGUAACGGCUCACCAAGGCGAUGAUGGGUAGCCGGCCUGGGAGGGUGAUCGGCCACAAGGGGACCGAGACACGGCCCUUACUCCUGCAGGAGGCAGUAGAGGGGAAUAUUGGACAAUGGACCAAAGUCUGAUGCAGCAAUUCUGUUUGCGCGAUGAAGUUUUCGGAAUGUAAAGUGCUUUCAGUUAGGAAGCAGUACCAACAGAAGAAGUGACGGCUAAAUACGUGACAGCAACCGCGGUAAUAC
rnacentral:rRNA from 1 species